AUUGAACGCUGGCGGCAUGCCUUACACAUGCAAGUCGAACGGCAGCACGGACUUCGGUCUGGUGGCGAGUGGCGAACGGGUGAGUAAUAUAUCGGAACAUACCUUGUAGUGGGGGAUAACUAUCCGAAAGGAUAGCUAAUACCGCAUACGCUCUAAGGAGGAAAGCGGGGGAUCGUAAGACCUCGUGCUAUAAGAGUGGCCGAUAUCUGAUUAGCUAGUUGGUGAGGUAAAGGCUCACCAAGGCGACGAUCAGUAGCUGGUCUGAGAGGACGACCAGCCACACUGGAACUGAGACACGGUCCAGACUCCUACGGGAGGCAGCAGUGGGGAAUUUUGGACAAUGGGGGCAACCCUGAUCCAGCAAUGCCGCGUGAGUGAAGAAGGCCUUCGGGUUGUAAAGCUCUUUUGUCAGGGAAGAAACGGUUGUGGCUAAUAUCCAUGGCUAAUGACGGUACCUGAAGAAUAAGCACCGGCUAACUACGUGCCAGCAGCCGCCGUAACAC
rnacentral:rRNA from 1 species